GGGGGUGAAACGGCUUCGACGGGGUAUGGAACGGUUUUGGAGGCGACCCGGGAUGGCACCGCCGUAAUGGGCCGGCAACUUCAAUUGCCAACGACGAGCAUUACGCUCCGGCUCUCGCAGCCGCGUAAGCGGUUGUGAGAGCGGGGUCCGGAUCCGGACCCGGCAACAGAAGCCUUCGGGCAGGGUCAGGCCGGAACGGUGGAUGCCGGUUGAAAUAAAGGGCCACCCAGUUCUUCCGAGGUAACGGAGGUUCCGCCGCCUGCCGGUCUGCAAUGGCGACGGAGAACAGCACCGGCGAAAUGGUCGUGAUUCCUCCUGGCCAACUACAUAUUGCGGACG
rnacentral:tmRNA from 1 species